rnacentral:sRNA from 1 species
GCGGCCGCGUCCCGGAGGCGCCGCCACCACAGCCAGGUGCUGUUGGGAACACAGAGGAAGUGACUCUCUGGGGGUUCAGGGAAAGCUCCGUAGAAGAGGGAACACUUGAGCUGGGUCUUGAAGGAUGAGUAGAAGUUCACCAAGUGGGAAAGGACACUCUAGGGUCGCAGGAAGACAAACCUUCUGGAAGACUGAGA